UUUACGUUCAACCUGGAUGAUGUUUC
rnacentral:sRNA from 1 species